rnacentral:rRNA from 1 species
AUUGAACGCUGGCGGCAUGCCUUACACAUGCAAGUCGGACGGUAACGGGCCUUCGGGUGCCGACGAGUGGCGAACGGGUGAGUAAUGUAUCGGAACGUACCUUUCAGUGGGGAAUAACGUAGCGAAAGUUACGCUAAUACCGCAUAUUCUGUGAGCAGGAAAGCAGGGGAUCGCAAGACCUUGCGCUGAUUGAGCGGCCGAUAUCAGAUUAGCUAGUUGGUGAGGUAAAGGCUCACCAAGGCGACGAUCUGGAGCGGGUCUGAGAGGAUGAUCCGCCACACUGGAACUGAGACACGGUCCAGACUCCUACGGGAGGCAGCAGUGGGGAAUUUUGGACAAUGGGGGCAACCCUGAUCCAGCCAUGCCGCGUGAGUGAAGAAGGCCUUCGGGUUGUAAAGCUCUUUCGGCCGGGGAGAAAUCGUAUGGGUUAAUACCCUGUGCGGAUGACGGUACCGGCAUAAGAAGCACCGGCUAACUACGUGCCAGCAGCCGCCGUAAAAC